rnacentral:rRNA from 1 species
UACGAAGGGGCUAGCGUUGCUCGGAAUCACUGGGCGUAAAGCGCACGUAGGCGGAUCUUUAAGUCAGGGGUGAAAUCCUGGAGCUCAACUCCAGAACUGCCUUUGAUACUGGAAUAUCUGAGUUCGGGAGAGGUGAGUGGAACUGCGAGUGUAGAGGUGAAAUUCGUAGAUAUUCGCAAGAACACCAGUGGCGAAGGCGGACUCACUGGCCCG